ACGAGUUUGAGUCCUGGCUCACGGAUGAACGGCUGCGGCGGUGCUUAACACAUGCAAGUCAACGGGGUACCCAUGACGGAGGCUUCGGCCGAACUGAAUGGAAUACCUAGUGGCGGACGGGUGAGUAACGCGUGAGGAACCUGCCUUGGAGUGGGGAAGUAACAAGUUGAAAUAGCUGCUAAUACCGCAUAAUGCAGCGAAGUCGCAUGGCUUUGCUGCCAAAGAUUUAUCGCUCUGAGAUGGCCUCGCGUCUGAUUAGAUAGUUGCGGGGUAACGGCCCACCAAGUCGACGAUCAGUAGCCGGACUGAGAGGUUGGCCGGCCACAUUGGGACUGAGACACGGCCCAGACUCCUACGGGAGGCAGCAGUGGGGAAUAUUGGGCAAUGGGCGCAAGCCUGACCCAGCAACGCCGCGUGAAGGAAGAAGGCCUUCGGGUUGUAAACUUCUUUUGUCAGGGACGAAGAAAGUGACGGUACCUGACGAAUAAGCCACGGCUACCUACGUG
rnacentral:rRNA from 1 species